GUAUUGGUGUGUUACAUGUGUGUACCGAUUUUUGUACAUGUACGUGAAACGUAGCUCGAGGCGCACUCCGUUGAAAAUGUAUAGGUGGCGCUAUCGAGGCAUUUUGCCACACCCAAUGGAAUAUUGGCCUUCAGAUUUGCUCAGGCCAGGACUCUUAUCGAACAUGUGAAGUUUGGGCAAGAUCAGACAUUUUAUGCCUGAGUUACAAUAACUUUUAUUCCCACGGCGAGACAUAGAACUUUGUGACGGCGCCAUGGACACGCCCUUUAACGAAAACUCAAGAUCUUCACAAUUUAACAUCGCAC
ensembl:lncRNA